GACGAACGCUGGCGGCGUGCCUAAUACAUGCAAGUCGAACGCAGUGGGGCCGGGUGAGUAACACGUGGGUCACCUCCCCAUCAGAGGGGAUAACACUUGGAAACAGGUGCUAAACCGCUACUGACGGAUGGACCCGCGGGUCAUUCGCUAGUUGGUGAGGUAACGGCUCACCAAGGCCACGAUGCGUAGCCGACAGGAGAGGGUGAUCGGCCACACUGGGACUGGGGCACGGCCCAGACGCCUACGGGAGGCAGCAGUAGGGAAUCUGCGGCAAUGGACGAAAGUCUUACCGAGCAAGGCCGCGUGAGUGAAGAAGGUUUUCGGAUCGUAAAACUCUGUUGUUAGGGGAGCGGUAACUAACCAGAAAGCCACGGCUAACUACGUGCCAGCAGCCGCGGUAAUUC
rnacentral:rRNA from 1 species